rnacentral:rRNA from 1 species
AUGCAUGCCACCUGCGUGCUCUGCUCACCAACGGAAGCAUCCAUCUCUGGAUGCAUGGCGAUGCCUCCCUCGGCCGUGUGUGAUGCUAACAUGGAUCGGCAGAGUGCUCAUCGUAAGGCAUGCGUCUCAGCCAAUAGGCUGCAAGGCGCCCGCGGGAGCAGGGGAUACGUGGUAUUGAUGGACAGGUGCGCAUACCCAAAAACCUCUGAUCUCGAUGCUCAUUUCCAGCAUUUUCCUGAAACCCCUCUAAUCCAAUGCUACAUACCAAGUGUGCACCCUCAGAUGCUAUCCGAGUCAAUUACAAAUUCAUCUAAAAAAGUAGUACUAUAUAUAUCUCCGCUGACUGCGGUUUUGGGUCUCCUCUCUAAAGAUUGUAAUAUUUCCUCUAAUAGAUGA